GCCGGCGUAGCUCAGCUGGUAGAGCACUUCACUCGUAAUGAAGGGGUCAGCGGUUCGAGUCCGCUCGCCGGCU
rnacentral:tRNA from 1 species